UGGGGAAUUUUGGACAAUGGGCGAAAGCCUGAUCCAGCAAUGCCGCGUGAGUGAAGAAGGCCUUCGGGUUGUAAAGCUCUUUUGUCAGGGAAGAAACGGUGAGAGCUAAUAUCUUUUGCUAAUGACGGUACCUGAAGAAUAAGCACCGGCUAACUACGUGCCAGCAGCCGCGGUAAUACGUAGGGUGCAAGCGUUAAUCGGAAUUACUGGGCGUAAAGCGUGCGCAGGCGGUUUUGUAAGUCUGAUGUGAAAUCCCCGGGCUCAACCUGGGAAUUGCAUUGGAGACUGCAAGGCUAGAAUCUGGCAGAGGGGGGUAGAAUUCCACGUGUAGCAGUGAAAUGCGUAGAUAUGUGGAGGAACACCGAUGGCGAAGGCAGCCCCCUGGGUCAAGAUUGACGCUCAUGCACGAAAGCGUGGGGAGCAAACAGGAUUAGAUACCCUGGUAGUCCCUGAGCGGGCUGGCAAGGCGCAU
rnacentral:rRNA from 1 species